rnacentral:rRNA from 1 species
UACGUAGGGUGCAAGCGUUAAUCGGAAUUACUGGGCGUAAAGCGUGCGCAGGCGGUGAUGUAAGACAGGUGUGAAAUCCCCGGGCUUAACCUGGGAACUGCGCUUGUUACUGGCAGGCUUGAGUGUGGCAGAGGGGGGUGGAAUUCCACGUGUAGCAGUGAAAUGCGUAGAUAUCUGGAGGAACACCGGUGGCGAAGGCGGCAUCCUGGACCGGUAUUGACGCUGAGGCGCGAAAGCUAGGGGAGCAAACGGG